GAUGAACGCUGGCGGCGUGCCUAAUACAUGCAAGUCGAGCGAACGGACGAGAAGCUUGCUUCUCUGAUGUUAGCGGCGGACGGGUGAGUAACACGUGGAUAACCUACCUAUAAGACUGGGAUAAUUUCGGGAAACCGGAGCUAAUACCGGAUAAUAUUUUGAACCGCAUGGUUCAAAAGUGAAAGACGGUCUUGCUGUCACUUAUAGAUGGAUCCGCGCUGCAUUAGCUAGUUGGUAAGGUAACGGCUUACCAAGGCAACGAUGCAUAGCCGACCUGAGAGGGUGAUCGGCCACACUGGAACUGAGACACGGUCCAGACUCCUACGGGAGGCAGCAGUAGGGAAUCUUCCGCAAUGGGCGAGAGCCUGACGGAGCAACGCCGCGUGAGUGAUGAAGGUCUUCGGAUCGUAAAACUCUGUUAUUAGGGAAGAACAUAUGUGUAAGUAACUGUGCACAUCUUGACGGUACCUAAUCAGAAAGCCACGGCUAACUACGUG
rnacentral:rRNA from 1 species